rnacentral:rRNA from 1 species
UACGUAGGGUGCAAGCGUUACUCGGAAUUACUGGGCGUAAAGCGCGUGUAGGCGGGUGAUCAAGUCAGGUGUGAAAUCCCCAGGCUCAACCUGGGAACUGCACUUGAAACUGGUCGCCUUGAGUGUUGGAGAGGGAAGCGGAAUUCCUGGUGUAGCGGUGAAAUGCGCAGAUAUCAGGAGGAACACCGAUUGCGAAGGCAGCUCGCUGGGACGUUACUGACGCUGAGACGCGAAAGCGUGGGGAGCAAACAGG